rnacentral:rRNA from 1 species
UGGCUGCAGUUAAGGAAAUUUUACAAUGCACGAAAGUGUGAUAAAAUAAACCAGAGUGUUAAUCUUAGAUUAACUUUUGUUUGUUGUAAAAAGACAGACGAAUAAGGACUGGGCAAGACCGGUGCCAGCCGCCGCGGUAAUACCGGCGGUCCGAGUCGCAUCCACAUUUAUUGGGUCUAAAACAUUCGUAGCUUGUUUUGUAAGUCUCUUGUGAAAUCUCAUGUCUCAAACAUGAGGCGGGCAAGAGAUACUGCAUUACUAGAGACCGGAAGACGUAAGGAGUACAAUUAAGGUAGCGGUAAAAUGCAUUAAUCUUGAUUGGACUAACAAUGGCGAAGGCACCUUACGAGUACGGAUCUGACAGUGAGGGAUGAAGGCUAGGGUCGCGAAAGGGAUUAGAUACCCCUGUAGUC